UACGGAGGGUGCAAGCGUUGUUCGGAAUCACUGGGCGUAAAGGGCGCGUAGGCGGCCUCAUUAGUCCGAUGUGAAAGCCCGGGGCUCAACCCCGGAAGUGCAUUGGAAACUGUGAGGCUUGAGUUCGGGAGAGGAAGGCAGAAUUCCCGGUGUAGGGUUGAAAUCCGUAGAUAUCGGGAGGAAAACCGGUGGCGAAGGCGGCCUUCUGGAACGAAACUGACGCUGAGGCGCGAAAGCGUGGGGAG
rnacentral:rRNA from 1 species